rnacentral:rRNA from 1 species
AGCGAACGCUGGCGGCAGGCCUAACACAUGCAAGUCGAACGAACCCUUCGGGGUUAGUGGCGGACGGGUGAGUAACACGUGGGAACGUGCCUUUAGGUUCGGAAUAACUCAGGGAAACUUGUGCUAAUACCGAAUGUGCCCUUCGGGGGAAAGAUUUAUCGCCUUUAGAGCGGACCGCGUCUGAUUAGCUAGUUGGUGAGGUAAAGGCUCACCAAGGCUACGAUCAGUAGCUGGUCUGAGAGGAUGACCAGCCACAUUGGGACUGAGACACGGCCCAAACUCCGACGGGAGGCAGCAGUGGGGAAUCUUGCGAAAUGGGCGAAAGCCUGACGCAGCCAUGCCGCGUGGAUGAUGAAGGUCGUAGGAUUGUAAAAUCCUUUCACCGGUGAAGAUAAUGACUGUAGCCGGAGAAGAAGCCCCGGCUAACUUCGUGCCAGCCGCCGCCGUAAUAC